rnacentral:lncRNA from 1 species
GGGCGGGCGUGGGGGGUGCCUGAUAUCUCCGCUCUAUUUUACAGUUACUCCCCUGCUGGUGCCUCCCUCCUUGGCGCGCUUCCCACCUGCGAUCGGCGCCCUCUUCGCAGUCACGAACUCGCCAGCAGCUAGCAGCACUGACUAGUAGGAGGGCCCGCCGGAGGAGAGGACAUACUCUGGAGUCAGAAGACAGCGAAAAGAGAAGCAGAAGCCCCGGUGGCAAGAGUCUGAAGGAAGGAUGACUGUAGCCUGUGGAUUGUACUGCAGUAGGAAACUGUCCUAGCAAGGCUCCACCUUGCCCCAGCUUCAAGCUGGAAAGGAGGAGAACAUGAAACAUUGCUUGAAGACAAUGGCCGAGACAGCAGGUCCCACCCUGCACAGCCAACAGCAUCUCUCCCCUCAGCCCUGUCUCCUCUUCUGCAGUUGGGAUCUGCACAUUUAAGCCUGAAGUGUUGUGGGAUGUAUCUUGCACUGGGGCCAGGCAGCUGACCAGAGCCACCCAC